rnacentral:lncRNA from 1 species
AUUUGAUAAGACGACCCACAUCUUUCCAUUUGUAAAAAUAAAAUUAUUCUGAAGCCUUAGAGACAAAUCAUGUCUCCUCCUCGUACUUUCUCAUCUUCCUCAUACCAGUCACCGAACUCACUGGAGGUUUCGCCACCGGCAAACACAACCCACUCCAUCGACCACCAAAAUAACACCUCAUAUUCUCUUUCUCUUCCUCAUUCCAAAUAUCAAAAUGGUUUCCCUUGAAUCCUCUUAUCUCAUCGAAUCUUCAUCAGAAGAUUUUUCGACGACGAUUCAUGUUACGCCAAAUGGUCCAAAAAUAACACCAUAGGACCGUUUUGGCAUCCCCUACACAAAUCUCAUAGCCGCUUGGCUCGAAGGCCCUAGGCCUCCCUCGCAAGAAUUGGUAAUCAGUGGAACUUAAAUGACCCCUAAAUUGGCCGAGUUCUGGGAAUAACGACAAAUGUCUGGAGUUUUCCGUUUAUCAGUGAGUUGUUCAAUUUCUUUCAAUUGAACCUUCCUUGUACUUUCACGCUUUCUGCCUCCUCUUCUAUUAGUUAAUAAGUAUCCUAAAAUGUUAAAUUAGUUUUGAUAAUGAUUUGGGGGUUCCUUUAGUUAAUUGUUGGGUCUUUCGUUUGGGUGUUAAAUGUUGGCUUAAUUCAGCUUAAUAAGGUUGUUAGUUUUGAUGCAGAAUUUAGUGAAUAGUUGAUACUUGUCAAUUUCUUGGAUUGAUUUCGGUAGUUAAGUGUUGUUUUAUUAUUUUUGGUUGGAUAAUUGUAGAUUUUAGUUAAACAUGGUUUCAAAUUUGUUUAAUCUCGGAUGAAAUGGCUUAAUGUUCUCCAUUAGUCUAACGGUUUAAGGAGUAACUGUUCUUUGAUCCAGUUUAGUUUAGUUAGUCAAGCCUUAGGCUAAUUAAUUAAUCUGGGGCAAUUUGGGAAUUUUAUUUGGGGGCUGAAUCUGGGAAAUGCUAGAAUCUUCUAAAUGGGGACCUAUAGAUAGUUUCAGAAAACAGUGGUAGUUACUUGGUUAGCAAAAUAAUAAGUUGGGGGUAAAAAUAAUUAUAAAGGGGGACCUAAUGGGUAAUUUUGGAAACUUGGUUCAGCUGUAAAUACAGGGUGCAUUUCCUUGUGAAGGGUCUUCAAUUUUAAGCCAUUAAAACUACCAUAGAAAACUCUUUUCCAUCAUUUUAGUUUCAGAUUUAACUUUGAAUUCAAGUCAAGAAAAAAAGGAAAACAAACCAAAAACAAAUCAAAAAUUCAAAAAAUAUCAAAAAUAGUCACUGUUUCAUUAGAGUCUUAGUUUGAGUUUGAGUUGAUUUUCGCAUCAAGCUUUCCUUAUUUGGCUCAGAGGUUUAAACUGAUUUUCGAGUGUUAAUUGUUGUUGGAUUCUGGAAUUACUAUUCGAUUUUAGUGGUUUUGUUUGAAGAUCUCUAUCCUUGCUGUGUUGUUGUGGAGAAUUUAAACUCUAUUUGGGUCACAUGAGGAUUCCUUUGGGCUCAUUUUCUCCAACCUGAUUUUACUUAGAAUCUCCUGGUUUAUUCACACAAGUUUGACUGUGUUUGUUGCCUAAAUUUUGUUGUUGUUGGUUAUUGCUUUGCUGCUGAUUACUCUUCCUCUCACUUUACUUCAAUUUCAGGUACACACCCUGGGUCUGAUUCGAGGUAGCCUUUCAAGUUGAAAAAUGAAAUGGAAACACUUCCAUAUUUGCUCAUUAGACUGUGUUUGUUAGACUCUUACAUGUUAAUAUUGAACAGAUUUUAGACAUAGCUCUAUUUUUGAUCUAUGUGUAUAAACUUGGAUUGUAUAAUUGGACUCCAUAUCUAGACUAUAUCAUUUUUGAAUUGAUCUUCAUGAAAGCAUUUAAUACUUGGAUGUUGUAGCUGAGUAAUAGUGUUGUAGAUGCUCAAUUGUUGUCACUGUUAGUAUAUUUCAUAUAAUGUAAUUUGGGUGUUCAGUUAUAGCUGUAGUAACUCUUGCACUUAGCUUCAUAACAGUUGUAGUGGUUGUUAGAGUUUA